GUGAAAUCCCCGGGCUUAACCUGGGAACUGCAUUCGAUACUGGCAAGCUAGAGUCUGGUAGAGGGGGGUGGAAUUCCNGGUGUAGCGGUGAAAUGCGUAGAGAUCUGGAGGAAUACCGGUGGCGAAGGCGGCCCCCUGGACAAAUACUGACGCUCAGGUGCGAAAGCGUGGGGAGCAAACAGGAUUAGAUACCCUGGUAGUCCACGCCGUAAACGAUGUCNACUUGNAGGUUGUUCCCUNGNGGAUUGGCUUCCGGAGCUAACGCUUUANGUUUACCGCCGGGGGAUNCCGGCCCCAAGGUUAAAACUCAAAUGAUUUGCGGGGGGCCCCCCCAGGGGGGGAAGAUGGUGUUUAAUUUCGCUGCACCCCNAAAAACCUUACCUCCUUUUAACUUCCAGANAACUUCUCAAAAAUGCUUUGGCGCCUUCGCGAACUCUCAGACNGGUGC
rnacentral:rRNA from 1 species